rnacentral:rRNA from 1 species
ACCGAGUUUGAUCAUGGCUCCAGGAUGAACGCUAGCUACAGGCUUAACACAUGCAAGUUCGAGGGGAAACGACAUCGAAAGCUUGCUUUUGAUGGGCGUCGACCGGCGCACGGGUGAGUAACGCGUAUCCAACCUGCCCACCACUUGGGGAUAACCUUGCGAAAGUAAGACUAAUACCCAAUGAUAUCCCACGAAGGCAUCCGAAUGGGAUUAAAGAUUUAUCGGUGAUGGAUGGGGAUGCGUCUGAUUAGCUUGUUGGCGGGGUAACGGCCCACCAAGGCUACGAUCAGUAGGGGUUCUGAGAGGAAGGUCCCCCACAUUGGAACUGAGACACGGUCCAAACUCCUACGGGAGGCAGCAGUGAGGAAUAUUGGUCAAUGGGCGAGAGCCUGAACCAGCCAAGUAGCGUGCAGGACGACGGCCCUAUGGGUUGUAAACUGCUUUUAUAAGGGAAUAAAGUGGGUCACGUGUGACUUUUUGCAUGUACCUUAUGAAUAAGGACCGGCUAAUUCCGUG